rnacentral:lncRNA from 1 species
UUUUCAUUUUUGUUGUUUUUAAUUUUAGUUUAACAUAUGCACAGAUGACAUUGUGGCUUUAUUUUGAAGACUCAUUUAUACCUGGUCCACAUUGACAAACUUAUUUGCGAUUUGUAUAUUUAAAUAAUUUUUUCAAGAUAUUAACAUACAAGUUCAAUUCUUUCUUGAUUGUAAUACUUCAAUAUUUAAUCAUAUUUAUAUUCAUAUAUAUUUAUGCGAGCAGCAAAAUUCUGUGGUUUUUGGUGUUCUGGAGUGUACAUAUUUUAGAUUUUUACUGACAAAUUAAUUUCUACUACUAGUGAUCAUUUCUAGCAUUCUCAACUAACACACUUUUCAAAAAUCUUAUUGUAUACUUCAUUAAAAACAAUACAUAAUAAUGGAUAUUGAAACCAAAAUUUCUGCAUAUUUUCAAUUUAGUACCUGCCUAUUGAAACAAAAUCUGAAGGGUGUCAGUAAUCCUAGGUUAACUGAUUAGCAAAUUUCUUUUAGGAUACUAUAAUACUCUGACUAGCAUGUUUCAUGCAUGAAAAGUUCAUCGGUGAUAUGCAGACUACAGUUUUAAAUAUUAAAUUUAAAAAUUGAUAUAUAAAAAUGAAAACUUGACCAAUAAAUAUAUCUCACCUGUAAUAAUAUAUUUACAUAAAUUAUCCACACAAAAAAUAUGCCUUUUAACUUUAUAAACAUAGAAUAUUUUUUGCUAUAUUAACAUCCAAAGUCAAAAGGGUGUAUCACUCUGAAAAUUCUAAUAAUAGUGAAAGACUUAUAGCUAUCAAAUUUAUUUAAAUCCUCUGUUUUAAUAUCUACUUUAAAUUUUCACUUCAAAAUAUAAAGUUAAUGGUAUAUAUUUUUUUUUAUAUAGCUGAAAUCUGCCCUUGCUAAAGUUUCAUAAGAUAUACAAUACACAUAAUAGGGUUCCUUCACAGUUUUAUUUUUGUUUAGCAUUUAGGUACCAUAUAUUAAAAUAUGAAGCUAUAAAUUUCCACUAGUUAAGUUAUAAUUAUGUUUUUUCAAACAAUAUACCUCAAUUAUAUAAUCAUCCCAAUUUUUUAAAGCUAGUGACCAUGAGCAUAUAUAUGGGUGCAUCCAAAUGAGAAUAUUGAGAUCCAGAAAUUACUAAUUUUAGAGAAUAUUCAAAAUCAUUCACCAGACUGUCAUUUAAACCCAUUCAAUCAGUAUAAUGAUAUAUUUGUUACCCAAUUAUGAUGAAAGAUCCCUAAUUCUUAGAUGAAAAUGUAGUAUUUCACUGGAAAUUCGUUUUUUGAAUGUUAAACCAUAAUUAUUGAGUAUCCAGAUUAUAAAUUUUAAAUAUCCUCUCCAAGAUUUUAUAUAUAUAAUUUAUAUAUAUAUACAGAAAAUUAAAGAGGGUCUUUCUAUAAAAGUAAGCAUUUUAGGAAAUCACUAAUUUCAUAUGGCUUUCACUAUGUUUGACUUGUAAUUUAACAACAAAUUUCAUCUUCCUUUAAGAAUUUUUACCCCAGAGAAGGUAUUUGUUUGCAUAGCAUGUACUUGAGUCAUCCGUUGUCCUAUUAUUGGUUUUGGCCUAGUCUCUUCAUUUAGAAGCUCUGUGCCCAAGGUCAGACACAUGGAAAAUGGUCUCUAUCAUUGCCUUUAAUUCUCACAACUGAAUCAUUCUACCACUGUCCCCUACCUCUCUGUUAUUUUUUGAAAGAAAAAAAAAAGAAGGUGAUAUAUCUCUUUAUUUUGCUAACAAAAGAAUUUUAAGAAUAUCCUAAGGCAAAUUCAUGACAUCCCCCACAUUAUUAAAAUAAAAAUAUGACUCAAUUUCUAACAUGGCAAUCAAGAACUAUGUAAGCAGGACUUAGUGUGAAUAAGGGGAUGGGGAUUUUAAAUUGUUACUAUGAAUUUGUGAUUCAUUAGUAAUUUUAAAUACACAACAUCUAAAACAUAAAGGUGGCAAUUUCUUUUUUAGUAUAUUUUAAAUUACACACUUUUGUUGACAGGGUAGGUAAUAUAGUUUACAAAAUGCCACUAUUGCCUGCUUACAAACAUUAAGAAACUUGGUUGCCGACUGAUGACUCAUGUGGUAACUCCUGAACAAUCUGUUUUAUUUGAUCAGAUCAGCUUUAUUUCCUUUAAAAAAAAUUUUGAAUUCAAAUGAUUUUAGGCUAGAUGAAUAGCUUCCAUAUUUCCAUAUUGUCUUAACCUAGAAACUUCAAAUAAUUUUACAUUACCAGCUAGACCAUAAGUGUAUUUUAACUUUCAAUCAUGAUUAAAUAAAAUUUGUUCCUCUAAUAUUAAAAUGUAUCUAUCAUAAUCAUGGAUUUUUAGAUAUUGUUCUUGGGGAGCUCAGAGUUUAUCAAAGCUUUAUAUGUGAUAUACGAGGUAGUAAAUACUAUGUAGGUUUAUAUUAAGGAAAUAAAACAAAUAUAAUAAACACGAGAAUGAAUAAUUUUACAUGAAAAGGGGGAGCUGGUAUGCUGUAUAUUAAUAUUGUAUUUGAAAUAUAAAUAUAUGUGUUAAAGUUAACCAUUUACAGUGACUUGGAGUCUCCCAGAGAUGAAAUUACUCCUGUUUAGGUGAUUUUGUAAAAUGCACUAUCUCUCACAGCCCCUGGACAUCAUAAGGGAAGUGGCAGCAGUAAUUUAAGAGGUAUGUGAAUACAGAAGGGAAAUUAUAAUUGCAGCAUACACAGAAGCUUUUCCUAAACUGUUCAACUGCUCAUAUACUUGACAAGAGUGUAAAUGGCCAAUUCAUUGGAAAUAUGUGAAACAUCAAAUAUGAGAAUCACUUUUAGGAUGACAGGUAUAAUUUGGAAAAUCUGAUCCGAUAGAAUUAAGACCAAAACUUUUUUAAAUGGGAGAAGACAGAAUGGCCAUUUUUUUUUCAAUGUCUUUGAACAAAAUAAUGAGUAGAAGUAAUAUAUUCUUCACCAUUGCUUACUGUGUCCAUGAGAGGUUGUUUGUAAAUAGAUAUAUACCUACAGGAAGUAAAAGAUAAUGUAAUGAAAUUCUCAAACUCUCCAAAUAUGUUUGUUUCCUUUUAAGAUUGUUUUUCUUGAGACAAAAAACUGAAAUACUAUCUAAAAUAAUUUUGGAUUUUAUUUCCUCUAUCCUUUUUAUAACAAAAUGUUACUUAGCUUUAUAUAUUGCUAUUAUGUAUGUUUCUAUAUAAAUAUAUAAUAAGUUGGAUUUUUUUUCACUGUUGAUUUGGUUUAGUCAUCAUCUUAGCUUUUUGCCUCACUGAAAGUAUAGGUUGUGCUUCAAAUGAGAAAAUAAGAGGUGCGAAGUAUUUGCUGUUAUUUUUAUCAAAUGAUAGCCAAUGGCUAAACAUUAAAAUGGUGAUUCUGUUAUUCCGAAUUAAGUUUCUUUGUCCACCACAGAUUGAUGGUGUGUCUUUGGCAACUUUCUUUGUGUCUCUGCUUUAAUUUCAAUUGUAAAAAUGAAUCCAAUGAACUUGGUUUAUGAACAGCUGAAAGAAAUUUAGAUUUUAAGUUUUCUCUACUAGGUGUAUGACAACUGUGACUCUAAAAUCAGCAACAUGAUAAUUAACUAUUACUGUUAUUUACAUUAUGCACCUAUGAAAGGGAUGAUUAUAUCUUUUAGAGAAAACAUCUUUCUCUUACUGCGUAUGUGUCUAAUAUUUGUAAAAUAAUUAGUUCAAAACAUUUAAUUUCUCCAUUAACUUUUAUUUUACAAAAUGAAAUAAUUGUUUGUAGAUAAUUAAUGGCAACUUUAAAAGUAUGACACCCUUGAAAAAGAAAGAACUUACUAGUUUAGUUUUCUUGACUUUCUUACAUAUUUUUACCUUUUGAAAUAACAUUGAGCUUUCAGUACAUUUAAUAAGAUGUAUCAUCAGUAUUUAUUUCUCAAAAAAUUGAGUAACCUUUCUAAAUUAGAUAAGUUUUAUUUGCUUAUUUUAUUUGCUUUUAACACAUUUUGAAGUUAUGUGUGAGGUAAUUUCCAUUGUUCCAGUUUUAAUUCAAACAAUACUGAACAUACUUACAAUAUCUAAAGAUCUUUGGCCUUUCUUUGCAGAAUUAAUUGGAAAAGGUACAAUAAAUAUGCAAUAUGUCACUCACCAUUUUAAUAUUCUAAAUUUAGCAAUUGCUCUUAUACCUAAUGAUUAAUAAUAUAAGUUGUUCUAGUUUCCUUUAUCUGCUGUGGUAUAAAUUUGGCUGUUAAUCCAAUAAUAAAACUAUUUAUAUUUUUAACAUUUUCAAAUAUCAUUACUACUGCUAUUUACUAGUCUCAGUGACAAUCUGAGAUCCUCCUUAGAUGCUUAGAGGAACCUUUAUACAGGGUUAUAAAUAGAGAAUUCUAAUGAUUAAAAUUUAAAAUGGUAGCAAUGACAAGUCCACUAUAAACAUAAUAAAUAAAUCAUUACCUUCUCUAUUAAUGAACAGAAACUUCAGUACUUUAAAGCUAAUAUCUUGAAAGAUUUUAGAAGUGCAGCAAGCUGGUACUCACACCUAAUGAAAAGGUCUUAGUGAAAAUCAUUUUACAAUUUACAACAUUUGCAUUGUUCUUUACAAAUGUUGUUUCCAUUCCAUGCAAGACAAUUAAACCAGAAUUAUUUUGACCACAAAUUUUUCUUCCUAAUUAAUUGGCCAAACACAAUGUAAAUAAAAUAGGAAAUGCUUCAGUUAAUAUUUACUAUAUAAACAAACAAACAGAUAGUGGGAUAAUGGUUUUAUCUAUCACCAUAUUCUAGAAUUGUGCCUGGCAUUCAGUAAGCACCUAAUGGAUUAACAAAUAUGUACUUGUAGAUGUCUGCAGACCAAGGUGAAUUUAGUGAAUAUCAAAAACUUCUUGAGUGCUCCAUCGUAACGCCAUUUAUCUUGACAUAAACUGCAAAGAUGGCUCAAAUGUCGAUAAGGAUAUCAGUUCAGGGUCUCCAGUGGCUGCAGCCUAUCCCAGAAGCUCAGGGUGCAAGGCAAGAAGUAAUCGUGGGACCAGGCGCCGUGGCUCUCGCCUGUAAUCCCAGCACUUUGGGAGGCAGAGGCUGGUGAAUCACUUGAGGUCAGGGGUUCCAGACUAGCCUGGCCAACAUGAUGAAACCUCAUCUCCACUAAAAAUACAAAUAUUAAUUGGAUGUAGUGGUACAUGCCUGUAAUCCCAGCUACUCGGGAGGCUGAAGCUUGAACCCGGAGGCAGCGGUUGCAGUGAGCUGAGAUCGUGAUACUGCACUCCAGCCUGGGUGAGGGAGUGAGACUCUAAAAAAAAAAAAAAAAAAAAAAAAAAAAAAAAAAAGACUAACCAUGGGCAAGACAUCGUCCCAUUGCAGGGUGCACUCACACACACCCACACUCACUCACACUGGGACAGUGUAGACACACCGAUGAACCCAACAUGCACAUCUUUGGGAUACUAGAGUAAACUGGAGUGCUUAGAGAAAACCCAUGAGAACAUAGGAAGAACUUGCAUACCCCACACAGACAGUGGUCCCUGCAGGGUUUUUCUGUUUGUUGGUUGUUUUUCCUUCAUCAAGUUUGUAAUGAAACGAUGUUGAAUGAUAAAAUAUUAUUUGAGGAAUUGUUGUACAAGGAUUUUGGCAUUUGUCUGUAUAUGGAAAUCAAAGACAUUUUAAAGUGAUUAUAAAUCUUUGUACAUGUUGACAAUAUUCAAUUCAGUUAAAGGCUUUAUCACGGUACAUUGUGACCUCUCUUUAAAUGGUUACAUUACUUUGAGCUCUGAAAAUUUGUUAUACUUACAUUGUUCUAAUUGUUCAUAACUAGGAAUUCACUGACUUUGCUUUAAUGUAUGCUAGGAAAACUGAAGUAGAUAAAUCAUACUUCCCCUUUCAGUCUCCUUCUCUCUUUUGGAUUUAAUUUUAACUCGAGGUUUAUUAAUUACAGAAGUUACACUCAUGUUGCUGCAAAUGUAUUUUUUCUAGUUGUUAAUUUGUUCAUGACAUUCUGCUUGAUGAUAGUAAUAUUAUGAUGAAGGUGCCUCAGAUAUCAAAAAAGAUUUCAAGUCUAUAGAACGUACCUCUAGCUACAGAGUCACAGGAUAUGUGACAGCAAUGAUAUUAGGGGAUGCUGAGCUGGAAACCCAAUUCAGCACCAGAGACAGAAAUACUGUAUUUUGACUCAUUCAUCUUACAUGGAAGAUGAAGCCUGCCAAUCAAGUAGAAAAUGUAGGCCUCCAAGACAAUAACUCACCUGCCUUUUUGUGGUUUAUAUUUUUCAUCUUGGUUAAAAAGUGUCCAUUGAUAGGGGAUUUAAUCAAAACAUUAAAGAAGACAUAAUAUAGCCACCAAAUCUAAUUAUUUCCAACUACUAGAUAUCAGAGCUUUAAAAAAAUUGUUUUUAACUGCAUUUGCUUCAUUUUUCUUAUGGGAUAUUAAUAGAAAAAUGGAGUGCAUUUCUAACAGUUGCAUUUUUUCAUAUGUGUGGCUAUGUUUAUGCUGAUAUUAGUUAAAAGUUCUAAAAACAAGCAAAGAAAAUAUACACAGUUUUUUGGCAUUGAUUGGUUGAUAUAAUAAUUAUGUAUAUUUACUUAAUAUGCAUAAUUUAAAAAUGUAUAUUUUUAUGUAUAUAUAUUUAUACGUAUAUAAUUACGUAUAUUUACUUAAUAUACAUAAUUAUUACUAUGAGCUUGGGCAAAAAAUGUAUUUUGGCAUUCCACUGUUCAGUUUUAAGUCAUUUAUUGGUACAUAAUUCUUUUAUUUCUACUUCAAUAAAUAUAAUUAAGUUUUGUGAAAGCCGUGUUCUAAUGAACAAGUAAUUCUUUCUUUUAAAAUAUUCCUUUUAAUUCUAAUUUAAAGUUUCUUAAGUAAAAAUAUAGCUCUUCAAUAAUAAUAUUAUAAUGUGUUUCUCUUCUAAAAUAAACAGAUUUUAUACUCAUUAUUUUAAAAUGUGAUCAAAACCACAUAAUUGUUUUUAGUCUUCUGAUUGGGAUUUUUAAAAAGAAAAUUCAAAGUUUGGCAUUAAAUAUAUUUUCUGUAAGAUAAUAUAACUACAUAUGAUAAAAUGAUUAAGUACUCUGAUAGUGUCACUAUUUCAAUACCAUUAUUAUCUUUAACAUAUGUUAAAACACUCCAGUACAUAACUAAUAAAGAGGAAUUCACAUGGCCAGCAAUUUUAAACUGGUGCAGCAAACUUAUCUUUUGUGUUUGCAAACAUAAGAGAACUGAAGAAGCAAGAUGCAAACAAUGUCUCCGUUGUUCAGCAUGUGUUUUAUGAUAUAAUACAUUCGUUCAUGUUGUGUUAUACAAAUUUUGCAGGGAGGGUUGCUCGUUUUAUCAAUUUGUGUAUUUUUUAUUUCAUAUUUUGUACGCAAUCAUGAGCAUUUUUCUUAUAAAUUGUACACAACAAGAACCUGUUGAAGAUUAGAAGGAAGGAGCAGCACAUACUUUUAGCAAUCCUUUUAUCUUACCAAUCACUGGAAGAAAAUGAUGCCAAGAAGCCAUGUGAGAUAUCAUCUCUGUCUGUCAUGUUUUCAGAACAGAGUGUGGCUUACUAAUGUUGCCAUUGCAGGCUAUGCUUUGUCAAGUGAAUACGGUUUUCAUCUUAAGGGGAUAGUAAGCAAGAUGUUAGCAAUACUCACUCAUCUUCAGAUUUCAUUGUCAAAUAUACUAAUAUUUCAAAAAUAUGGUUUUCAUCUAGAAAAAAAUGGAGAUUUUGAGUGUACAAAUAUAGCCAAUGCAGGUUAAAUUUAAACAGAGAUUUUUUUUUAAUCUCUCCCUUUUUUAUACUUUUUUUUUUUUUUUUUGAGACAGAGUCUUGCCCUGUCACCCAGGCUUCAGUGCAAUGGUGCAAUCUCGACUCACUGCAACCUCCGCCUCCCAGGUUCUAGUGAUUCUCCUGCCUCAGCCUCCCAAGUAGCUGGGAUUACAGGCACGCGCUACCACACCUGGCUAAUUUUUGUAUCUUUAGUAGAGACAGGUUUCACCAUGUUGGUCAGGCUGGUAUCGAACUCCUGACCUCAUGAUCCACCCGCCUCGGACUCCCGAAGUGCUGGGAUUACAGGCAUAAGCCACCACACCUGGCCCCCUUUUUUAUACUUUUUACAAGUAAUCUGACACUAGGUGCCACAUAAUUAAGAUAAAGACAAAAGUGCAAAACCAUGUAAAAUAUUGACUUCUAAUUGUGAAUUAGUUUCCCUUUUCUACUUGUUUUGCCUUGUUGGAUAUGAAACAUUUCAAGUAUGUCAUUGUAGGAUUAUUUUUGACAUUUUAUUCUUAGAAUGGUGAUUUAGUUGCAUAAUUCUCAUUUGCUAUACCACUUUUCUAAAAAAUAAAUGUUUGAAUUAUUGAAAUAUCCCAAGAUACUCCUUGUUAUAUAAUUGUAGAUCAUUACUUUAUUUUCAGACAAAUUAUGCUAUUGUGGAUAAAUAUUCAAUGUAUAAAAUACAGGACUUCUUUUUUCCUGUUUUACAAAACUCCAGUGCCCUUUCUUAUCUACUAUUUUAAUAUUCCUUUGCUAUAGUAUAUUGCAUAAUGUGGAGUCAACUAUUUUUUACAAUAUGUACGUGUUGAUCUGAAAGUUCCUAUUGAGUUAAAUAAUGAAAAAUAAUUUGGUGGACCAUGAAUUUUAAAUUUGUUAAAAAUUGUUUUAUUUGUGUAUGUGUAUAAAAUUAAAUUUUGCAAAUUGGUAAAUUUAUUCUUCAUUUAACCUUGUUGCUUUGAGUACUCCUAAAGCUUGUAAUAAUUCUUUGGGGAGUAAUAUAAAAUAUAUCAUUCAUAAGUGAAUUUUGCCUUACCAUUAUUCAAGAAUAAUUGGUUUGCAUUUUUUAUUUUUUGGUCAACUCUUCUGUUAUUUCAUUUCCCUAACUUCUUAAAAAUAGUUAAGUUUGGGUUAUAAAUGGCUACGUAUUUAUAUAAUUUAUUUUGAAAACUACACUAAUCUAUGAACUUCUUAAGAUUAUACAAGCUGAUAUUUAAAAUAAUCUGAGUCACUCAAAGAUCUUACUUUGGAAUAGCCACUAAGAAUAGUCAGAACAGUUUAGUGUUUCUUGAACUGAAGCAUUUUUCUGCUGCUGCAUUUGAAAUUGCCUGCUCUCCUUACUUAGAUUCUCUAGAUAGCUGCCUGUGAAACCUCUCUCACCUCCCACACUUUCACAGGCUCCUGGGGCUGGCGCAAGGUACAGCCAUUGGUGGCAACAUGAAGUUAACAACAACAACAAAAGCAGAGUAAAGAGAAAAAUUGGAAGAGAGACUAUUUCUGAGGUUGUUUCCAAACAACCCUAGAAUUCUGUACAUGCCAGGCACUUUCCAGUGCCUAUUCCAUUUUUUCAUUCAUAGUUCCCAGGAAAAGUCCUGAUUGGAAAUGCAAAGCCCUGGGCCUAGUUUCUGUGAUGAUAUUUCCUUGCAAUUUCCUUCUGAUGUGUAGAUGGCUUUUGUCUGUCCGUUUGCUGUCAGUAGGAGCAUUAGGAGCUUAGCUUGAAUGUGUGUGUGUGUGUGUUUAUGUGUGUGUGUGUGUCAUUACUAGUCCCUGUCUAUAUGCCAAGAAAGACUGGUAGGCAAAGAAGAAAAUUAAACAUUUAACCCUAUCUCAGUGUCUUUCUAACACUACCAACAAGAAGGAGGGGCGGGGAGCGGGGAGAGAGAAAUGGAUCAUGGAUUUGUUUUAGAUGUAAAAACCACUGCGUGUUGGUAGCUACAUUAUAUUAUGUGGUGGGUUAGGGAAG